UUUGACUUCCUGUUUCACACUGACCGUGGUCUCAGCUCACUGUUGUCCCGCGUGUGUCCGUGCGGUUUCUUCCCGGCAGCAGGUGACGGGGCCCGUACUGCCAGCUCUGCCUGUGGGUAGGGACUCUGGCUUGCUGUGCGGUGGUGACAGGCAGGGGGAAAGAGAAAGCUGCCUGGUGAGGAUUGUUUCUAGCGAGCCGCUGUACACUUGUUAG
rnacentral:lncRNA from 1 species